rnacentral:lncRNA from 1 species
GUGUUUCAUCAGUCACUCAAGUGUUUAGGGUAACACUCCAACACUCUAUCAUUCACAAGUCACAUGAAUCAAAAUUUCCAUUCAUCUAAAAACAAUCAAAAUCCUUACAUGCAAAUACCAUCAAAAGGACUUUUCCAAGGCUAGUAAUGAGGCUGGGCUAACAAGAAAAAUUGGUUUUUCUGGAAUGCAAAAUCCUUGAGUUAAGAGAGCUACCAUAGUAUUCAACAUUUAAGUACAACUCUCUUCCUCACCAAUCUCACUUAUUCCCAACUUUUUCCCUUUUCUUUUGCAUUGAACCCAUCUUCAUGCUUUUCUUCUUUUCUUUUCUUUUUCUCAUGUAUUUUUCUUUCACAACUUUCGAGCUCAAUGCUGUUCAAUUUUUCUUUUCAAUUUCCACCAUGCAACCCCAAACUUGAACCUUUUCAUCACAUACAAUUAAGCUCAUCCCAACUCAAGGUAAAGAAUCUUAAGACAAGGGUUCACAUCCUGUUUAAGGCUAAGGUUCAAAAAGGGUAUAAAAUUUUCAAGC